rnacentral:rRNA from 1 species
CCUAAAGGCGUAAUGAAAGUAUAGAUUGUCUUAAGACAAUUGAGAGAAGAUGGGUUACGUUACGAUGUAAUCCCGCAUUCUCAGGACGUUCUAUUCUCAUUGAGAAAGGGCGUACCUAGAGCGUACACGUUGGGACCCGAAAGAUGGUGAACUAUGCCUGGUCAGGAUGAAGUCAGGGGAAACCCUGAUGGAGGUCCGUAGCGAUUCUGACGUGCAAAUCGAUCGUCUGAACUGGGUAUAGGGGCGAAAGACUAAUCGAACCAUCUAGUAGCUGGUUCCCUCCGAAGUUUCCCUCAGGAUAGCUGGCAUUUAUAWUUUUGAGUCUCAUCUGGUAAARSGAAUGAUUAGAGGUCUUGGGAUCGAAACGAUCUCAACCUAUUCUCAAACUUUAAAUGGGUGAGAUCUCUGGCUUGCUUAAAUUUAUGAACCCACGAGAUUUCGGAUCAAAGUGCCAAGUGG